GAUGAACGCUGGCGGCGUGCCUAAUACAUGCAAGUCGAGCGAACGGACGAGAAGCUUGCUUCUCUGAUGUCAGCGGCGGACGGGUGAGUAACACGUGGAUAACCUACCUAUAAGACUGGGAUAACUUCGGGAAACCGGAGCUAAUACCGGAUAAUAUUUUGAACCGCAUGGUUCAAAAGUGAAAGACGGUCUUUCUGUCACUUAUAGAUGGAUCCGCGCUGCAUUAGCUAGUUGGUAAGGUAACGGCUUACCAAGGCAACGAUGCAUAGCCGACCUGAGAGGGUGAUCGGCCACACUGGAACUGAGACACGGUCCAGACUCCUACGGGAGGCAGCAGUAGGGAAUCUUCCGCAAUGGGCGAAAGCCUGACGGAGCAACGCCGCGUGAGUGAUGAAGGUCUUCGGAUCGUAAAACUCUGUUAUUAGGGAAGAACAUAUGUGUAAGUAACUGUGCACAUCUUGACGGUACCUAAUCAGAAAGCCACGGCUAACUACGUG
rnacentral:rRNA from 1 species